UACGUAGGGCGCAAGCGUUAUCCGGAAUUAUUGGGCGUAAAGCGCUCGCAGGUGGUUCGUCGCGUCGUGCGUGAAAGACCCCGGCUCAACUGGGGGAGGUCGUGCGAUACGGGCGGACUGGAGGCCAGUAGGGGGAUGCGGAAUUCCGGGUGUAGUGGUGGAAUGCGUAGAGAUCCGGAGGAACACCAGCGGCGAAGGCGGCAUCCUGGACUGGUCCUGACACUCAUGAGCGAAAGCGUGGGGAGCGAUCCGG
rnacentral:rRNA from 1 species